rnacentral:misc_RNA from 1 species
UGCCCCUAGUAACCGGCGAGUGAAGCGGCAUCAGCUCAAAUUUGAAAUCUGGCUCUUUCAGCGUCCGAGUUGUAAUUUGCAGAGGGCGCUUUGGCGUUGGCAGCGGUCCAAGUUCCUUGGAACAGGACGUCACAGAGGGUGAGAAUCCCGUACGUGGUCGCUGGCCUUCGCCGUGUAAAGCCCCUUCGACGAGUCGAGUUGUUUGGGAAUGCAGCUCUAAAUGGGAGGUAAAUUUCUUCUAAAGCUAAAUACUGGCCAGAGACCGAUAGCGCACAAGUAGAGUGAUCGAAAGAUGAAAAGCACUUUGGAAAGAGAGUCAAAUAGCACGUGAAAUUGUUGAAAGGGAAGCGCUUGCAGCCAGACUUGCCUGUAGUUGCUCAUCCGGGCUUUUGCCCGGUGCACUCUUCUGCGGGCAGGCCAGCAUCAGUCUGGGCGGUUGGAUAAAGGCCUCUGUCAUGUACCUCCUCUCGGGGAGGCCUUAUAGGGGAGGCGUAAUGCAACCAGCCUGGACUGAGGUCCGCGCAUCUGCUAGGAUGCUGGCGUAAUGGCUGUAAGCGGCCCGUCUUGAAACACGGACCAAGGAGUCUAACAUCUAUGCGAGUGUUUGGGUGUCAAGCCCGAGCGCGUAAUGAAAGUGAACGGAGGUGGGAUCCCUUUAGGGUGCACCAUCGACCGAUCCUGAUGUCUUCGGAUGGAUUUGAGUAAGAGCAUGGCUGUUGGGACCCGAAAGAUGGUGAACUAUGCUUGAAUAGGGUGAAGCCAGAGGAAACUCUGGUGGAGGCUCGCAGCGGUUCUGACGUGCAAAUCGAUCGUCAAAUUUGGGC